GAGAGUGCGGCGUGCUAUACAUGCAAGUCGAACGAGUUCUCGUUGAUGAUCGGUGCUUGCACCGAGAUUCAACAUGGAACGAGUGGCGGACGGGUGAGUAACACGUGGGUAACCUGCCCUUAAGUGGGGGAUAACAUUUGGAAACAGAUGCUAAUACCGCAUAGAUCCAAGAACCGCAUGGUUCUUGGCUGAAAGAUGGCGUAAGCUAUCGCUUUUGGAUGGACCCGCGGCGUAUUAGCUAGUUGGUGAGGUAAUGGCUCACCAAGGCGAUGAUACGUAGCCGAACUGAGAGGUUGAUCGGCCACAUUGGGACUGAGACACGGCCCAAACUCCUACGGGAGGCAGCAGUAGGGAAUCUUCCACAAUGGACGCAAGUCUGAUGGAGCAACGCCGCGUGAGUGAAGAAGGCUUUCGGGUCGUAAAACUCUGUUGUUGGAGAAGAAUGGUCGGCAGAGUAACUGUUGUCGGCGUGACGGUAUCCAACCAGAAAGCCACGGCUAACUACGUGCCAGCAGCCGCGGUAAUACGUAGGUGGCAAGCGUUAUCCGGAUUUAUUGGGCGUAAAGCGAGCGCAGGCGGUUUUUUAAGUCUGAUGUGAAAGCCCUCGGCUUAACCGAGGAAGCGCAUCGGAAACUGGGAAACUUGAGUGCAGAAGAGGACAGUGGAACUCCAUGUGUAGCGGUGAAAUGCGUAGAUAUAUGGAAGAACACCAGUGGCGAAGGCGGCUGUCUGGUCUGUAACUGACGCUGAGGCUCGAAAGCAUGGGUAGCGAACAGGAUUAGAUACUUUUGUAGGUCCA
rnacentral:rRNA from 1 species